UACGUAGGUUCCGAGCGUUAUCCGGAUUUACUGGGCGUAAAGCGCGUUCAGGCGGUUGGGCAAGUCGGGCAUGAAAUCUCUGGGCUCAACCUGGAGAGGUUGCCCGAUACUGCCGAACUGGAGGGCAGUAGAGGGGGGUGGAAUUCCGGGUGUAGUGGUGAAAUGCGUAGAGAUCCGGAGGAACACCAGUGGCGAAGGCGGCCACCUGGACUGCACCUGACGCUGAAGCGCGAAAGCUAGGGGAGCGAACGGG
rnacentral:rRNA from 1 species